UCCUCCCUCUUUCUUCGUGCUUAACACAUGCAAGUCGAACGGAAAGGCCCUGCUUGCAGGGUGCUCGAGUGGCGAACGGGUGAGUAACACGUGGGUGAUCUGCCCCUUACUUUGGGAUAAGCCUGGGAAACUGGGUCUAAUACUGGAUAGGACCAUGCUGUAGGUGGUGUGGUGGAAAGAUUAGUUUCGGUAAGGGAUGAGCUCGCGGCCUAUCAGCUUGUUGGUGGGGUAAUGGCCUACCAAGGCGUCGACGGGUAGCCGGCCUGAGAGGGUGGACGGCCACAUUGGGACUGAGAUACGGCCCAGACUCCUACGGGAGGCAGCAGUGGGGAAUAUUGCACAAUGGGCGCAAGCCUGAUGCAGCGACGCCGCGUGGGGGAUGACGGCCUUCGGGUUGUAAACUCCUUUCAGCCAUGACGAAGCCCUUGUGGUGACGGUAGUGGUAGAAGAAGCACCGGCUAACUACGUG
rnacentral:rRNA from 1 species